UAAUACGGAGGGUGCAAGCGUUAAUCGGAAUUACUGGGCGUAAAGCGCGCGUAGGUGGUUUGGCAAGUCGGGUGUGAAAGCCCUGAGCUUAACUUGGGAAUUGCAUUCGAUACUGCCUGGCUAGAGUAUGGUAGAGGGAAGCGGAAUUCCGCAUGUAGCGGUGAAAUGCGUAGAUAUGCGGAGGAACACCGGUGGCGAAGGCGGCUUCCUGGACCAAUACUGACACUGAGGCGCGAAAGCGUGGGGAGCAAACAGGAUUAGAUACCCUGGUAGUCCACGCCGUAAACGAUGAGAACUAGAUGUUGGGAGGGCUUGAACCUCUUAGUGUCACAGCUAACGCGUUAAGUUCUCCGCCUGGGGAGUACGGCCGCAAGGUUAAAACUCAAAUGAAUUGACGG
rnacentral:rRNA from 1 species